UCUUACAGAUGAGCAAAGAAAGUGGUUUCUUGAGAUGGAAUCUACUCCUGGUGAAGAAGCUAACAA
rnacentral:pre_miRNA from 1 species